rnacentral:rRNA from 1 species
AACGAACGCUGGCGGCAUGCCUAACACAUGCAAGUCGAACGAGACCUUCGGGUCUUGUGGCGCUCGGGUGCGUAACGCGUGGGAACCUGCCCUUAGGUUCGCAAUACCUCCCCGAAUGGGGUGCUAAUACCGCUUCAUGUCUUCGGACCAAAGAUUUAUCGCCUUUGGAUGGGCCCGCGUUGGCUUAGCUAGUUGGUAGGGUAAAAGCCUACCAAGGCGACGAUACAUAGCUGGUCUGAGAGGAUGAUCAGCCACACUGGGACUGAGACGCGGCCCAGACUCCUACGGGAGGCAGCAGUGGGGGAUAUUGGAAGAUGGAGGAAAGGCUGAACCAGCAAUGCCGCGUGAGUGAUGAAGGCCUUAGGGUUGUAAAGCGCUUUUACCCGGGAUGAUAAUGACGGUACCGGGAGAAUAAGCACCGGCUAACUCCGUG